GCAGUAUUAGCAUGUCCGAAGUUCUUAAAAAUCCGGAGACGAACACACUGCAACAAUUGCUUCCAUUCAAUCCCAAUAAAAAGUACUUAAGUAGUACUGAUGAUGUCAACAUGGCUAUCCAAAUCAAUCACUUUGCUUGCGGAGGUAUGGCAAUAGGCUUUAAUUUCAGGCAUAUUGUAGCUGAUGCAACAGCAUCAAUCGGUUUUAUCAAAAACUGGGCUAAACUUAAUUCCAGUGAUGAUAAUUCCAUUAUUAAUUAUAAGCAUGUUGUUGUUGAUUGCACGGAUACCUUCCCACGAAACAAAGAGAUUCCAAGUUACGCGAGGAGGAUCAACGAAUGGCAACGUGCGCCAGAAUGUGUGACAAAAAGGUUUGUGUUUGAUGGUAGUAAGGUAGCUGCUCUAAAAAGAGAAAUGAUAGUGAAAAAUGAAGCAAGUUUGAAUCAUCAAUAUAGUCCAUCACGAUUUGAGGCUGUUUGUGGGCUUAUCUGGGGUGCCUUGAUAGCUAUGGACAGAGAGAAAAAUAUUGAUUCUACUUCUACUAUAGUGUCAAUACCAGUGAAUUUACGGAAUCGAAUGAAUCCACUGCUACCAGAAGAUUGUAUUGGGAACCUCUUUCAUUCGGUUACAUGCGCAGCAAAUAACGAAGCAGGUGACGGUCAUCGUGAUAAGAGUACUUUAGCAAGAAAUGUUCAUGAAUCUAAAAAGAUGGUGGGCGAUGAUUUUGUGAGAAAAGUUUAUCAAGAUGGUGGUGUUGUUUUUGUGAAUCAGUAUAAGGAAGCAGUUAAAGAGCUUCUAAAGGAUGGUCCUAAUAAUGAUACUACUAAUAGUGUUAGGUUGUUUGGUUUCAGUGGUCCAAUUGGACUUCAAUAUUAUGAAAUUGAUUUUGGAUGGGGAAAGCCAGUGUGGGUUACCAGUGCCAUGAGAAUGCAUAAUACCGCCAUGCUUUUAGAUACACGUGAUGGUAAAGGCGUAGAAGCUUGGGUAGGGUUGCCUAUCAACGACAUGCCCAAACUUGAACAAGAUCCUGGCAUCCUUACUUAUGCUUCUUUCACUCCAAGCCCUAGGAGCAGGAUUUGAAUCCUCUUCUCCCAAAAGGAUAAUAAAUUCUUCUGUAUGUUUGUUACAUAUAUAAUCAAUCAAUAAAAUCAUGACGUGUGCAUCUUUCUAUGUAUGUCUGUUAUGAUGGUAUUGGCGGUUGUAUAAGUAUUCUUUCAUAUGAAUUUCAAAAUGCUAAGUGUAUGCGUUUAUUAUUAAAGUAUUGUGACGUCAAUUUACGACAAUUAAAAUAAAAGUAUGCGGUGCGCAAAAAUGAAUGACACACAUUCUUUUAAUUUUAUAUCAUCUAAUUAUAACGUACGAAAAUCCUAAUUAAUUGAUUAAAAUUCAAUUGAAGUAUAUAAUCCAUCCAAAAUAUGAUAUAAUUAAUUAUAUAUUGUAAUAAUAUUGAUAAAAUUCCACUGUCGUUUAAGAAGGAUACGCAAUAGAGUUAUGAUUGCUGAAAGUAUGAUUAAAAACUUGAUGGUUCAAUUAGCACUGUUAUAGUGGGUCCAGUUAUGUUGUUCCUGUUGUAAUAUAAAUUUCAUUAAGCUCCUUAUAAUCCUUUCUAUUUACAGUUUAUUUAUAAGUAUCAAGUUAAUGUUUUCCUACAUCCGCUACUAUACUUUAUUUAGUACCUUGUACUCUUCCACAUUUACAAUUUUUUUUAAUUCUCCAUUGCACCUAUACACCAUAUCCUAAUUUUGUAUUUUAAUAUCACUAAAAGUCAAGCCAUGAUUUAUGAACUUCUUUUUGUACUUUGAACUGGAUAUUUGAAGUCUGUUUCUAAGCAGUGUUAGAAUAAAAGAAGAGAUGACAUUGCAACUUCGAUGAUUGCAUUUUUUUGCCGUGGCAUGUGAAAACCAGCAAAAAUCUGAAUACAUACCACACCAGAUAUAAUACUAUGAAUUUUUUAAUACAAUGCAUUACAAUCUAUGCAAUGGGGUGCACUAAGUACCAGCAAGGGUAAUUGAAUUAAAUAAUAAAAAAACUAAUAUCAUGAAAAGAAUAAGAUAUAGUUGAUAUCUAAAAAUCAAUGCUAGUUAGGCCCAAUGACACAGUCUAGCUCAUAAGCAAUGUUUUUCACAGUGGACCCAAUCUGCUAUACUGAGGCAACCACUAUGGGUUCAAUUCACAUUGAAUUCUUGGCUAAACCCACUUGGAGUCCUUGGCUCAUAAGGGAAUGCCUCAUGAGGCAAGCUAGUGGAAACUAGUCAUUCUAAAAUAAUAAUAAAAAAAUUAGUUUAAAACACUAAAUCCUAAAUCACAAACAUACAUUGUUGAUUCACAUGCAUCAAUUGUUUAUUUAUGUAGUUUGGAAGCUACAGAUUCACCAAAGUGAAGUUCAAUUCACAUUGAAUUCUUGGCUAAGCCCACUUGGAGUCCUUGGCUCAUAAGGGAAUGUCUCACGAGACAAGUUAGUGGAAACUAGUCAUUCUAAAAUAAUAAUAAAAAAAAAUAGUUUAAAACACUAAAUCCUAAAUCACAAACAUACAUUGUUGAUUCACAUGCAUCAAUUGUUUAUUUAUUUUGAAUUAAAAAUCAAAGAGUUAAUAGAUAAUUGUUGUCUAAAAAGACUCACUUUGGCGAAUAUAUAUCACAAUUGAAUUCAUAUGAUUGACAAUGUGAAAUUUAUACAGAUUAAAUGUAUGGACAAAACAUGCAUUCGUAUUUAAUAUAAAAGCAUGCAUUAUAAAUAAUGUAAAACAUGCAUUGAUAUGUUAUGUAAAAGCAUGAAUUAUAAUUAAUAUUAAGCAGUCAUUGAUAUUUAAUGUAAAAGCAUGCAUUGAUAUUUAAUGUAAAAACAUGCAUUAAAAUUAAUGUUAAGCAUGCAUUUAUAUUUACAGCAAAGCAUGCACUAGAAUUAAUGAAAAUGAAGAAAUGAAGCCUAUAAAUAGCAAGUUUCACCAUUCAUUCAAGCAUCCAUUAUGUUAGCUAAGAAAUCCAAGAGAGAGUUAAAAGUGAGUUAAGAGCAUUUCUAAAACAAAUUUCAAGAAAACAUUUUCAACAUUCUUCUAAAAGUAAUUUUCGAGAAAAACAUUUUUACAAUCUCUUCCAAAAACAAUUUAUGAGAAAAUAAUUUUAGUAUUCUCCCAAAAAUAAUUUGAGAGAAAAUAUUUUCAAUGUUCUCAUAAAAAUGUUUGCGAGAGAAAAUUUACAGAUCCAAUUCAAGAAACAUUUUCUAAAACAAUUUCCAAACAUAUUUUCAUAUUCAUUUUCUAAAAAUAUUCCAUUUUCUCACGUUUUUCCUAAUUACAUUUCCUAGGCUAUAACAAUCAUAGGAAAUUAAUAUUAUGCUAUCGGCUCUCCAUUAUUUACUGGUAUAUUCUGCUCCCACAUUACUAUUUAGAGCAAGUGCCAUUAUCGUUUAAGUUGGAAUCCGUUAUUCAACAAAACAGUAAACAUAAUAAAAGUUGCAGCUAGAGCUUAUUUAGGCCAUAUUAAUGCCUAAAUACAUUUUUGAACUUUACUAUCCAAAUCACACAAUAGAAUUAGGUAGAUCACAUACCACUAAGCUCGAAUUUCUAAUUAAGCCCAACUUUAAUUUAACUAAGAAUGUGGCCUUGUGAAAUUCUUGCCCCAAACAGAUAUAUAUAUUUAUUACAAUAACUCCUCAUACUAAUAAUGUGUUAUCAAUGUAAGUAAAAAGUACCUUAAUACCUGUAAAUUUGUAAAUAAAAAAGAGCGUAACAUGUUAACUAAUAUUUAAAAGUGGAUAUAUAAUAAAAAAUAAUCCUAGUACUUAUAAAUUAAAUGUAAAUAUGAAAUUAAAUAAGGUUCAAAUUGAAAUUAAACAAUUGCACAGAAAUUUGUAAUUAGCUACUUCCAAUGUUGGAGUCGCCGUCGUUUGAGGGACUAUGUAUAAUUUAUUUUGUGCCUUAAUCUCAUCAUAUACGUUAACUAAAACUUACAGAUUAUGUCAUUAUGGUCCCCCAAAUAAAUUUUUUUUGCCAAUCAUAAAUUUAAAAAAUUUGGGACCAGCUUCAUUUUCAAAAGUGAUGAAAGCUCAGCUACAAAACUCGAUGAAAUUAAAAAUUAUAUAUUUGGCGAUCAGAGGAGCUUAAUCUCAAUUAUGAAUUAAGGACAUUUUCAAGCCAAAAUCCCUUUCAUAGCAAUCAAUUAUUUGUAAUUUUAAAAUUAUUUUGAACACUUUUAUUUUAAUGAAAAUUUUGUAUUAUUAAAAUACCCAUAAUUUAAUUUAUUAUGAUGGACAAAUUUAUGUACCAAUUCAAAAUACAUUAAUACACAUGACCUGAUGAUAAAAAUUGAAAUGCGCGCCGUUGUUUUUUUAUAAUUCAUUGGGCAUGCGCUGAUUCAUCUUUUAGGUUUAUCAAAUCGCCAAGCUUUUUCAUUAUUUUACUUUUUUAUACUAAAUCUAAGAUAUACAUUUGUUGACAAAGGGCCUUUUAGUUAAAGAAAAAAAAAGUGGGUCUGAUUGAUUUAAGAUUUGAAAACUAUUUUAUGAAAUUAGAAUAUGAUCAAAAAAUUUGCAUUACAUUCUAGAAUUUAACACUUUUAAUAUUUGAAAACUGUAUUCAAAUUGUAAAAAUUGUAAAAUCAUAUAUAUAUAUAUAUAUAUAAGGGUUCGCCUAUGUUACUACGGUUGUACCUUACCACAGUCUUUGUCUUUUGUGAAUUAGUUAAUGUAAAAUUUAAUUGAACCCCUUACACUAUAUUUUAUUUAUAAUUUAUCAUAAAUUAUUAUAAUACUUUAUACUUACCUACAUUAUCAAAAUUUAAUUUAUAACCUUACACUUUUAUUUAUUUAUUUUUUUAUAAGUAUUAAAAGAGUUUUUAUUUUCAACCACGCUACAUUAAUAAUCAUAACACAUUAAUAUUAAUGAAAAGACAAAAAUAUCCUUAGAUUGGCAUUAAAAAAUUAUGUAGAAAUUAAGAUUAACUCAUCUCCCUAAUCAUUAACAAAGUUAACUCAUCAUCAAUAGAGCUAAUCAGGUGGAGUUGGCGAGUGACGAUGGCUACAGGAGGGAGGCUUAAGAACAUUUUGGCCACAGUAGCGACCACAAGGCUGACUUAGGUGAGGGCCAAGAUAUUUGGGUAUAUACUUAACCCCACUGGCCAGAGAUCACCCCACAAGAUUUUGCGGAAGAAGCUCGUCGGUGACAAGCUCUCGUCAUGGCCCGCCAAGAACAAGAGCGCUUACCCAAGCUUGAACUGUUGAAACAUCAUGGAAAGGGACCUCACAAGAAAGGCCAAGGGAAGCAUGCAGCCAAGCGCAACAAGUAGAUAUUCUACCUCUGAAUUACCUGGGAAUUGGAUCAUUAAUGAUUUGAAAGAAGAUAUGUAACUGAUUUUGGUACCUUUGUUUUAGCUUGUGGAAUAUUAAAAUCUUAUCCCUUUUUUGUAAGAUUUUCCAUUUUGUGCCCAGUUACUAAUACUGAGUAGAGUUUUCGUCUUGAAUGGAAAUUGAAGUAUUUGUUGGUUUAAAAAAAAAAAAAAAAUCAUCAUCAACAAAAUUUUCAACAAUACGAGUGGGGAUUCUAGUGGUUAAUUACAAAAUGGAUCUAUUUAUAACUUAUAAUUUAAAAAAAAAACUAACACUAAAAGAAAAUAACCCAAAAACCCACACACGCGACAUCCAAACGAAAUCGAUCAUGGCUUCAUCUCUCCAGUUUGCUCUCAACCCAAAUACCUAUAUUGUGAAGCUACCUGCUACCGGCUGCCACCACGCUGCUCCACGUCGGCAAGAUAGCAUAGUCGCGCCAUGACCGACAGCCUUGACCCAUGUUAGCCUUAUCUUUCCUCUCUCGAAACAACAUAACGUCAGCUGCACCACAGCCGCACCAUGAUAGACAGAGGAAAUCGGAGAUCCAUCGAAGCCACAAUAUGAAGCUGCAGCGCAUAAUUGCUCUGGAUAAGCAAGGCCUGAGCUCGCCUUGCCAUCGCCAUUUCGCUUUCUCUCGCUCUCACUUCGGCUUCUCAGAUCAAAUUGAGGAUUUUGUUUUGAUGCCUAUAAUUUCCACCACGAGAAGCAUCACACAAACAAUCAAUGACCUACAACUAAUUAUCCUCAAAUCGGUCAGCAAUCUUGAUCAAUAUUGAAGCCAUCAUUAAACCCAUCACACAGAGAAAGUGAGAGAGUAAAAGAAGAAACGGGAAAAAAAAAAUAUUGAAGACAAAAUUUGAGGAUAAUUUUGUCUUUUUAAUACUUACGAAUAAAUUAUAAAUAAAAUAGAGUACAAGGGGUUCAAUGAAAUUUUACAUUAACUAAUUCACAAAAAGACAAAGAUUGUGGUAAGGUACAACUGUGGCAAGCGGACCCUAUAUAUAAACAUGUGUUUGGCUGAACCUAUUUUCAUAAUAAUUUUUUAUAGUGUUGGUUACUUGAAAUCAAAUAUCACUAUAAAUUAUUAAUAAAGAAAAUAAUGGCAAUAAAAUUUUGUUUUCAGGUCUUACUAGUAAUCUUAUUAAAUCCUAUUAAUGAAGGUCAAACUAGUAACGAAUAUAAAUAAGAUAAAAAUAUAAAUAUGGGUUAGAUAACAAUAACAAAAUAAUUGGACUCAUUUAUUUUUAUACUAGAUCUAAGAUUCAUAGUUGUUGAUCGGCUGCUUCUAAUUAAAAGAAAAAAAAAAGAUAUAUAGGAAUUUAUGCUGGAAUUUAGAUUCAAUGUGGAGCUAAACUUUGUCUUGAGCUUUAUAUAAUAUUGUGAUCGGUAGUUAUUCAAUAAGAAAUGAAAUGUAAUUAAAUAUUAAUGAUAUAUUAUAAAUCCACCUAUGAUAGAAGAUUAUAAAAAACUCAACAAAACUUAACUCAACAUUGCUCCUUAAUUUAUUUAUACUAUCCAGUGUUGUUGAAAUAUAAGAGUUUUCAAUGCAUGAUCAUUUUCUAUCUAUUUGUUAUUUUCAUUUUUAAUAACGCUAAGGAUCCCGAUAUUUGAAUUGCAUUUAUAUUUCAAUAGAUAAGUGACAAAUAUAAUUAUAAAAAAAAAAAUUCAAAUAUUAGAUCGUACGGGUGGGGUUUUCGUGCUAAAUAAUGAAGUUAUUGUCCUAUUCUUCUCUUUUCAAUGAAUGCAAAUAAUGACAGAACUGUUUUUGUUAAAUUACUUAAAUAACAUUCAUAUAAAAUAAAAUGGUACUGCAUCACAUUAAAAUAAAAUGGUACUGCAAAUAAUGUUACGUUACAAAUAAUAUGCGACAUUAGUUUAUACAAAAAUAUAAAUUUAUAUAUAAAUAUUUGCCGCUGCAUCACAUUAAUCUUCUAUCUAGACUGAGCAACAAUCAGGCACUCUCUCUACUCUACGUAUGUAAAAGACAAGAUAAUUCUUUCGGAAUUGAGCAAAGGCAACGGACGAAAUGCAGCUCCGUAUCAUCUCCAAGAAAAUUAUCAAACCAUCUUCUCCAACUCCUCUGCACUUAAAAACCCACAAGCUGUCCCUUCUCGAUCAACUAGCUCCAGAUAUUUACACCUCAUUGCUUUUCUUUUACAAUGGCCCAUCAAGAGUUUAUGACGAAACCAACACUAGUACUAAUAACGUUUAUCAUCGCCUCAAAAGCUCUCUGUCCAAAACAUUAACCCUUUACUACCCUUUUGCAGGAAAACUACUCCAAGAUAAUUAUGUUGUUGAUUGUGACGAUUCUGGCAUCCCUUUCGUUGAAACCCGAGGACCCAGCAGUAUUAGCAUGUCCGAAGUUCUUAAAAAUCCGGAGAUGAACACACUGCAACAAUUGCUUCCAUUCAAUCCCAACAAAAAGUACUUAAGCACUGAUGAUGUCAACGCGGCCGUCCAAAUCAAUCACUUUGAUUGCGGAGGUGUGGCAAUAGGCCUUAAUUUCAGGCAUAUUGUAGCUGAUGGAGCAGCAUCGGUCGGUUUUAUCCA
rnacentral:lncRNA from 1 species